UACGUAGGGACCAAGCGUUGUUCGGAUUUACUGGGCGUAAAGGGCGCGUAGGCGGCAAUUCAAGUCAGCUGUGAAAUCUCCGGGCUUAACUCGGAAAGGUCAACUGAUACUGCGGGGCUAGAGUGCAGAAGGGGCAACUGGAAUUCUCGGUGUAGCGGUGAAAUGCGUAGAUAUCGAGAGGAACACCUGCGGCGAAGGCGGGUUGCUGGGCUGACACUGACGCUGAGGCGCGAAAGCUAGGGGAGCGAACGGG
rnacentral:rRNA from 1 species